rnacentral:tRNA from 1 species
GGAGAUGGCUCAGUGGGUAAGAGCACUGGUUGUUUUUCCAGAGGACCUGGGUUCAAUUCCCAGCAUCUACA